AAAAAUAAAAAUAUUUACAAAUGAAAAUAUUUACAAUUGAAAACAAAAAUAAAAAUAAAAAAACUAAAUGUUGCACAAGCGCCGCCUUGUUGAAAUUAUCAACAAUCCCCAGCAAUGGCACCCAAAACAUGAUGACUUCUCGACAAGUGUACAGAUAAUGUCGAAGUAAUAAAAAGAUUUAAUCCACAUGGAAUGCCUCCAAGCAAGACAAAAUAUGUGCAACUUGGAAAAACUAGUAAAAAAAGGGGAAAUUUUCAAGUUUCAG
rnacentral:lncRNA from 1 species